UACUAUUUAAAGGGGACCAACAGCCCUUAAAAAGGAGGUCAAUCCUAGUUUUGCAAACUGAUAUUCUACCUAAGAGUGGCUGGAGGAGAGAGGGCACCAAAGGUCUCAAUUGCGACACUGGAGGCAUCUGUGCCGGAAGUGGAGAGGAUGACAGGUAUCCUUUAUUCCCUCCAUGACAUAUGGCUCCAUCCAGGAUGAGGGGACAGUGAAAGGAACCUGCCAAUGUGGUCAAUACUGAGGCCAUUUCACCAAGGGUGUGGCGGCGAUGCUGGAAGAAGGUUAAUGGCUUUGCUGGCGUCGUCAAGCCAAACUGGUCUGGAAGGAGGUGGAGGCCAUGCUCGACGAGAACAUCAUUGGACCAAGUCAGAGCGAGUGGGGUUCACAGAUUGUCUUAGUUUCCAAACCGGUCGGGACUCAACAAUUCUGCUGGAUUAUCGGAAGGUCAACGGCAUUACAAAAUCAGACUUGUAUCCAAUUCCUAGACUGGAGGAUUGUGUCAAGAAAGUUGGACAAGACAUUUACAUCACCAAGUUGGACUUACUGUGUGGUUAUUGGCAGUUACCUUCAUCAGAGAUGGCGAAAUAAAUUUCUGUGUUUGUAACCCCAAAUGGGCUAUAUCAGUUUGAAGUGAUGCCCUUUGGAAUGAAGAACACACCCGCCACAUUCCAAAGACUCAUGGACAGAGUUGUGGCUGGGUGAACAAACUGUGCGGUCUAUUUGGACGAUGGAGUGAUCUUUAGUGAGAACUGGAAAGAUGAUAUGGUACAGUUGGCAGAGCUCAUUGAACAACCACGAGAAGCAAAACUGGUAACAAACUUAAACAACUGAAUUUGUGAAAGCAGUGGUGACAUUCUUGGGGCAUAACAUCGGUCACGGAAGGUUGAGCCCACAAAAUGUGAACAUGAACGCCAUCAAGGAGUUUCCACAACCAACCUCAAAAAAAGAGGUGCUUCAAUUCUUAAGACUUCUAUCGCAAGUCUCUUGUCUGUUCCAAACUUCAGUAGUGUAGUGGCACCGUUAACCGAUUUGCUGAAGAAGAACACAAAGUUUCGGUGGACAGAACAAUACCAGGAGGCAUUCAACCAUUUGAAAUCGAUGUUAACCACCAAACCAGUUUUAGCUCCACCAAAAUUUUCAAAACCUUUUAAAGUCGCCAUCGAUGCUAGUGACAUAGGAGUUGGAGCUGUACUCCGACAGGAAGAUAAGGAUGUGAUUGAACUGCCAGUUGGUUCCUUUUCAAAGAAGCUCCACAUCGACCAGAGGAAAUACUCCACGAUCGAAAAGGAACGAUUGAGGCAGAAUAUCAAGGCCAAGUGAAGUAUUCACGUCCUGCACUUGGAGCUAAGGCAAUUGUCGAGCUGAAGAAACAGGACAAUGGCGUACACGAGGAGAUUGAAGACAGGAGGGGGAGAAAGUAAGCACCCGGACAUCAUAGAGGCCAUCUAAUGAUCGUGGUGACGGUGAUGUGAAUCAAGUAGACAUAGAGAAGGAGGUUGCCUCUUAAGUAAUCCUAAUGGUCUACCAACAGAUAAUCCACCUGUUAAUGUCUUGACGUUUCAUACGUUAAAGCAAAGUUAGGAAUGAAAUAUAGCGGAUUAUUAAACUGAGGGUAUUGACAUAGGCUGAAAUAGAGGGACAAGCCAGAGAGCUGAGAUCAAUUCCUGAUGGGAACAAUCCUGUUGUGUAAACAGAAAGUCAGCGAACUUUAGGUGUGUACAUUAGGACCCUCCCAGUUCUCUGUGUGGCCUUGCAAUAAAGAUCAAAUCUAAUAUUGACAUGGCUAUUUGACAGAAAGGAUUGAAGAAAUAUCAAAUGCUGCUUUGUGUUAAAUGAGUCUAAAAGAAUUGAAAGGUAAUGUUACUGUGCAGGCAGAAUUUGCAGAAGAGAAACCAGACAUGCUAAACACUGUGGGAAGAGGAUCUGUCUCAGUUCAACUUCCCUGCAAGUCCUGCGGUGGCAGCAAUUUUAGUUUAGUUUUGUAACCUGGGAAACAGGUGAGCAGAAACCAUUCAGGUGGCAGGCAAGAGGGGGGAAUAUACCUUGCCUGUUACUCAAGCCUCCUAACCUAUGUAUAGUCCAGCAAAGUCAUGUUCUGUUGAGAGUGUGGAUGUCAUUCUGCUACAUGAAAUAACAGCUGCAGUGCUGAAAUGCUAUCAAAAAUCAUAACAUAUCCACCAAAAUUAUUUUUAUAAAUGCCCUUGAGAAAAUCUCCAUAAGAGUCCUGGGAAAAAACAGACCCAUUUGUGACAAUAGAUUUAUUCUACUCAAUGUCUUCUCAAGGGAUGUCCCUCUAAUCACAGGAAUCAUCAAGGGAAUUAUUAUUUUGCCCCCUCCAGGUAAGAUUUUCUCACUUUUAUACUAUAAUACCCUUGAAAUAAAUAUAAUUUUUCUACUUAAUUCCCUGUUGUACCUGCAACGUUUUGUUUUGUGUACAAUGCCACCAAAAUUACUCUCUGGUCUCUCACCACUGAAAAUGUAUUUUCCUUUUCUAUUCUUCUGACCAAUGUGGAUAAUUCCGCACUUCCUCACAAAAUAAUCUAUUUACCAACUUCUUAUCCUACCACUUUGCACAUUAAUAUCCCUUUGUAAAUGCUUUGUGUCCUCCUUAUUCUGAGGAGAAAGUGAGGUGUGCAGAUGCUGGAGAUCAGAGUCAAAGAGUGUGAUACUGGAAAAGCACGGCAGGACAGGCAGCAUCCGAGGAGCAGGAGAGUCAACAUUUCGAACAUAAGCUCUUCAUCAGGAAUGUCUGACUGGCUGUGCUUUUCCAGCGCCACACUUUUUGACUCCUCCUUAUUGCUGUCUAGAUUUUUUUAUCAUAAGCAAACUUAAACAGAUUACAAUUGGUCCCCACACAUACAUCAUUACUAUAGAUACUAAGUUGAAGCCCAACUGUGCUGCUCCACCAGCUAUACUCAGACAUUCUGAAAAUGGCCUAUUUAUUUGUACUCCUUGUUUUCUGUAGUUUAACCAAUCUUCAGGUGACGCUAAUUAAUUAUCCCAAUCCAUGAUGACUAAUUUUUCUUGUAAUGUGCUAAAUGCACAAAAAAAUUAAACAUCUCACAGAUAGCGUGUUCCUCCAUUUGAGAAACAUCAGCUAAACUUGUGAUGCAUGCCUCUUUUUGAUGUUUACCAUAACGAAACUAGACAGCGAUAAUUGGAGAGGGAGAUUUCUCUUCCUCCUGAUUAGCACCAGAUGGAUAAUUGCUGAGUACCCUUGCAAUGUAACUUCCAGUUGCAAAUGUUCGCCAAUUGUUUUUUUCAAAAAGAAGUAUGAGAAAAUAUUUACUUGCUGUGGCAUUUUUUUUAUUGAGAAAGGUUUUUGUUUUACAAAAUUAUAAAAGUACAAAAGAUAAUACAGCAAUCUUAUGGUACAACAACUGUACCAGAACAAACUACCCACUACUCGACAGAUCAAACCAAACUAUUACAGAAAUACAGAACAAUUUUGCCAUAUUGCAAUUCAAUAAGUAAUUAAACAUUACAAAUUAAAUUAAGCUAACUUGAAUUGGACUAAACUAAUUUAAUUUAAUUUACAUCACCAGAUGCUCCCCCACCGAGGCUCCCACCAAUGGGAGCAUCAGUUAAUAUACCCGUAUUUAUUUAACCAUUCAUUCAAGCUUCCUCCUUAAGGGGGCCCCCGAGCCGCCAAAUCUGGCCUUCGUGACGGUACAAAAGGCCCUAAUUAGUUUGGCUGAUAUGUCCGCGUCUAUGUGGUUCAGGUAGGACCGCCUCAUCUUAUAAAAUAAUUCCAAUUUCUGGUGCACCACAUUUGUAAGAAAGUCCUGGGGACAUGCUCCAUUACUAACAUAUGCCAUUCUGGAAGACACGGGGUGGGGGGUUUCCGCGAUCCAGCUCAUUAGAACGUUCUUCCUUGCACAUUACAUGAGAAUGUUGGAUAACCUCUUCCCUUGCUCAUCUAGCAAAGGCAGAUUUGGCAGUCCCAGAAGGAAGGAUACCGGAUCCACCUUAACCUCCGUUCCCAAGAUUCUCUCCAACACGUUCGCUAUGGCACCCCAGUACCUACAAUCUUAUGGUGCGACCAUAAGCAGUGCGUGAGAGUACCAGUGUCUGUUUUGCAUGUAGGACACCUUGGGGAUGCUCCUGUCUUAAAUUUUGCCAGUUGGCUCUGGGGCCAAAUGGGCCCUGUGGAGAGUCUUUAGUUGCAUAGCCUGCGCUUUAUUGCAAAUCGGAAUUUUUUUCACAUUCUCCCAGAUAUCCAUCCAUACUUCCAAUGAGAUUUCCGUUCCCAAUUCCUGAUUCCUGACUCCAUAAAGUCUUUCCACAUCUUCCAGGGUGGA